GACGAACGCUGGCGGCGUGCUUAACACAUGCCAGUCGAACGGAAAGGCCCUGCUUUUGUGGGGUGCUCGAGUGGCGAACGGGUGAGUAACACGUGAGUAACCUGCCCUUGACUUUGGGAUAACUUCAGGAAACUGGGGCUAAUACCGGAUAGGAGCUCCUGCUGCAUGGUGGGGGUUGGAAAGUUUCGGCGGUUGGGGAUGGACUCGCGGCUUAUCAGCUUGUUGGUGGGGUAGUGGCUUACCAAGGCUUUGACGGGUAGCCGGCCUGAGAGGGUGACCGGCCACAUUGGGACUGCGGUACGGCGCAGAAUCCUACGGGCGGCAGCAGUGGGGAAUAUUGCACAAUGGGCGGAAGCCUGAUGCAGCAACGCCGCGUGCGGGAUGACGGCCUUCGGGUUGUAAACCGCUUUCGCCUGUGACGAAGCGUGAGUGACGGUAAUGGGUAAAGAAGCACCGGCUAACUACGUG
rnacentral:rRNA from 1 species